rnacentral:rRNA from 1 species
AGAUACGGAGGUAGAGCACUGAAUGUCCUAGGGGGUAUUGCACCUACCGAAGACUAUCAAACUCCGAAUGCCGUCAUCUUAUACUUGGGAGUCAGACUGUGGGUGAUAAGAUUCAUAGUCGAAAGGGCAACAGCCCAGAUCGUCAGCUAAGGUCCCUAAAUGUAAGUUAAGUGGUAAAGGAUGUGGGAUUGCACAGACAACCAGGAUGUUGGCUUAGAAGCAGCCACUCAUUCAAAGAGUGCGUAAUAGCUCACUGGUCGAGUGAUCCUGCGCCGAAGAUUUCCGGGGCUAAAACUUACUACCGAAGCUACGGCAUCAGUAAUGAUGGGUAGGGGAGCUUCCCAUACGGGUUGAAGCAUGACCGUAAGGACAUGUGGACAGUAUGGGAGUGAGAAUGUUGGCAUGAGUAGCGAGA